UACAGAGGAUGCAAGCGUUAUCCGGAAUGAUUGGGCGUAAAGCGUCUGUAGGUGGCUUUUUAAGUCCGCCGUCAAAUCCCAGGGCUCAACUCUGGACAGGCGGUGGAAACUACCAAGCUGGAGUACGGUAGGGGCAGAGGGAAUUUCCGGUGGAGCGGUGAAAUGCGCAGAUAUCAGGAGGAACACCGGUGGCGAAGGCGGUUCUCUGGGCAUGUCCUGACGCUGAGGAGCGAAAGUGUGGGGAGCGAACAGG
rnacentral:rRNA from 1 species